AAGUCGUAACAAGGUUUCCGUAGGUGAACCUGCGGAAGGAUCAUUACAAAUCCAAGUCAAGUCUAUUGACAAGUUGAAAUGUGUGUGUGUGAGAGAGAGAAUAUAUUUCCACACAAAAUCCAUACAUCAGUUGAACAACAAAUAACAAAUAUUCUUUUACACAACUUGUAACAAUGGAUCUCUAGGCUCUU
rnacentral:misc_RNA from 1 species